UGACCUCGUGAUCCGCUAUUUGUAUUCUUAUCUAACAUACUGAGAACUUUUUAUCACUGUAUUAAGUAUCCAUACAGUUGUAAAACAGCAAGUCUUUAGAAAAUGUUAAAUUGCAGAAUAAUCAUCAUCCAAUAAAUUAUAUAUUAUUUUAGGUUGAGAAUUGAAAUAAAAUAUACAAUUUGUAACAGCUACCUGCAAAUUUGCCAACCAACAUACAAUCAUAAAAUGUGAUUAACUAUUUGAAAAGAAGCACUUCAAAGAUUAAAGAAAUGACUAAAGAAAGCAUUUAAGGCUUUAAAGAGUGGCUUCAAAAGCAGUACGAUGUUGUUUUCUGCAGAGUUGUAAGGGACACCCGAAUCUUGCCUUGGCACAGCCACCCUUCUCUGACGGAAUGCCUAAGGGAUACAGAUGAAAGAAUACUCUGUGGAAGCAGAGGAAGGCAUCAGCUGCCACCAAGGAUAGUUCACCUAAGACUAUCGCACAUGCCUUGUACACAACCACCAAAGGCAGAAUCAGGAAACCUUCAGACAGAGUCCCAACCAUCUGGGGAUGAUCUCCAACAAAGAAAUUCCAGGGCAAUGAUCUAGAGUUGUAAUUCUUUGCUCUGUAGAUAAAAAUUCUGCUAAAAGAAAACAAUUUUGUCAUUAUUUCCCACUGCUGUCUAUUAGACUGUGCAUUCCUUGGAAGGAAGAUCUAUUCUUACUGUUAUCUGUGUGCCUGGCAAUAAAUGUUUGAUGAAUGAAUGGAGCAGUCAGAGGAGAUACCCAAUUAAUUUUCACAGUAAGGGUCAGGGAGAGGAGAGGCAUUUGAAGAAAGCUGCACAACCAGACACACUAAAUAUAACAAUUUUUCAUUCUGAUUUGUAAGCUGAAGAUAAUGAUACAAAAUAUUUGCAUAUUUUAUUAAUUACACAUACAUGGCUGUUAUUCAGCUUCAUGUUAUGAGAUAAUAGGAAGAUGCAAAAGAGGAGAGCAUCCAUCAAGUAGAGUUACAAGGGGUUCUGCAUAUUACUAAGCAUGCUUUUUAAGUUUCUGAGCUAGAGAAGGUAUGUAAGUUAUUAGACGAAUAAUUUUAAGGGGAGACAUCAAGGCUUCCAUCUUUAACAUGAAGACUGUAGAUAUACAUCCUGUCCUUCAACACAAUGUCGGGCACGUGCCAGGCAUUGCACCAGACACCAAAGGUUGAGAGAUAAAUAGAGCAUGACUCCUGGCCUCACAGAAGUCCCAUUCUAGCUAGGUUUCAAACACAUCCAUGGGAAUGUGGGAAAGGAAGUAUUGUUUAUUUAUGUGCAUCUAGAUGACUAGUAGGAGAAAACAUUUUUAUAAGAUCUGAAGUAUAAUGAAAAUAUUUCCCCAUGUUAACUUUGGGUGAAGGGAUGAGUGUUAGGCCAAAGUUAGGUGGUAUGGACUGAACGCUAGUGGCCCCUAAAGUCCAUAUGUUGUAACCUAAUACCUGAUAUGAUGGUAUUAAGAAGUGUGCCAUUUGGAAGAGAUUAAGUCAUGAAGGUCCCAC
rnacentral:lncRNA from 1 species